rnacentral:rRNA from 1 species
AUAAAGUAAUAAUACCAGAUAAUAAAUAAAGACUAAGUCGUUAUUAGAUAAGCUCAGGUAGGAUUAGGUAGUUGGUGUGGUAAAAGCGCACCAAGCCUAAGAUCCUUAGCUGGUCUGAGAGGAUGAUCAGCCACACUGGGACUGAGAUACGGCCCAGACUCCAUUAGGAGGCAGCAGUGAGGAAUAUUGGACAAUGAGCGAAAGCUUGAUCCAGCAAUACACCGUGAGUGAUGACAGCUUUUAGGUUGUAAAACUCUUUCAUCAAGGAAGAUAAUGACAUUACUUGAAAAAGAAGCCCCGGCAAAUUUCGUGCCAGCAGCCGCGGUAAUACGAAAGGGGCAAGUCUUAUUCGAAAUUAUUGGGCGUAAAGGGUAAGCAGGCGAUUUAUUAAGUUAUUUGUUAAAGGCCUUAGCCCAACUAAGGUAAAGCACUUAAUACUGAUAAAAUAGAAUAAGAUAGAGGAUAGUGGAAUUUCUAAAGGAGGAUUAAGCCCUGUAGAUAUUAGAAGGAACAUCAGUAGCGAAGGCGGCUAUCUGGAUCUUUAUUGACGCUGAGAUACUAAGGCGUAGGUAGCGAAUAGGAUUAGAUACCCUAGUAGUCUGCGCAGUCAACGAUGAGUGUUAAAUCUUGGUAAAUUCUAAUAAGUAGCUAGUAAGAUCGACUAGUAGUAUGUGUUAUUAUACCCAUACUUAUCUUCUGAAAGUAAAACUAUUAUUUAUCAGGGUUACAGCUAACGCUUUAAACACUCCGCCUGGGGAGUACGGCCGCAAGGUUAAAACUUAAAGGAAUUGACGGGGACCCAUACAAGCGGUGGAGCAUGUGGUUUAAUUCGAUACAACGCGCAAAACCUUACCAGCCCUUGACAUAUUGAGAAGUAUAUCUUUAAUAGGAAAUUACUGCUAAAGACUCAAUACAGGUGUUGCAUGGCUGUCGUCAGCUCGUGUCGUAAGAUGUCAGGUUAGGUCCAUAAACGAGCGCAACCCUUAUUCUUAGUUGCUAACAAUUUUUUUAAUCAAUUAAAAAAAGUUGAGUACUCUAAGAAAACUGCCUGUGAUAAGCAGGAGGAAGGUGAGGAUGACGUCAAGUCCGCAUGGCCCUUAUGGGCUGGGCUACACAUGUGCUACAAUGGUAAUCACAAAGGGAAGCAAAGGUGUAAGCCUAAGCAAAUCCUAAAAAAUUAUCUAAGUUCGGAUUGCUCUCUGUAACUCGAGAGUAUGAAGUUGGAAUCGCUAGUAAUCGUGGAUCAGCACGCCACGGUGAACCUGUCUCUGGGUCUUGUACAUACCGCCCGUCAAGCUUUGGAAAUUGUCCCUAUUUGAAAUGGCCUUAUUCGUUUAUUUUCUUAAAAUUU